UCUCGUGGUGGGGAAGCGGCAGCUGCGGAGGCCACGAUGGGCGGCCUGGAGAAAAAGAAGUAUGAAAGGGGUUCUGCUACCAACUAUAUCACCAGAAACAAAGCUCGGAAGAAGCUACAACUGAGCCUUGCUGACUUCAGGCGACUUUGCAUCCUGAAGGGGAUCUACCCCCAUGAGCCCAAGCACAAGAAGAAAGUGAACAAAGGGUCCACUGCAGCUCGGACUUUCUAUCUCUUGAAAGACAUAAAAUUUCUCCUUCAUGAGCCCAUUGUCAACAAGUUCCGGGAAUAUAAGGUGUUUGUUCGCAAGUUGCGCAAGGCCUACGGGAAGAGCGAAUGGAACACAGUGGAACGGCUGAAAGACAACAAGCCCGCCUACAGAUUGGACCACAUUGUCAAGGAGAGAUACCCCACCUUCGUUGAUGCCUUGCGGGAUCUGGACGAUGCGCUCUCGAUGUGCUUCCUCUUUGCCACCUUUCCACGCACCGGCAAGUGCCACGUCCAGAUGAUCCAGCUCUGCCACCGGCUCACAGUGGAGUUCCUCAACUACGUCAUCGCUUCGCGCGCUCUGCGCAAGGUGUUCCUGUCCAUUAAGGGCAUCUACUACCAGGCCGAAGUGAUGGGGCAGCUUGUCACCUGGAUAGUGCCGUACGCCUUUUCGCACAACCACCCGACUGAUGUGGAUUACAGGGUGAUGGCUACUUUCACCGAGUUCUACACCACUCUCCUUGGCUUUGUCAACUUUCGCCUCUACCAGUCCCUCAAUUUGCACUACCCUCCAAAGCUUGAAGGCCAAGCUCCUGCAGAUGUGAAGCUAGCGGAGGCUGAAUCCUACGCCUUGGACUCUGAGAGCUCCAUGGAGAAACUGUCAGCCCUCAGUGCCAGCUUGGCACGAGUGGCUGCUCCAAACCCAGAGGACGAAGUAGAAGUGGAUGAGUUCCCAGCCGAGGGAGAGAGCACAGAGCAAGAGGAGGCCCGGCAGAAGGAGCAGGAAGCCCUGGAGAAGCAGAAGAAGCUCUUCGAAGGACUGCGCUUCUUUCUCAACAGAGAGGUGCCCCGGGAGCCUCUGGCUUUUGUUAUCCGUUCAGGAAGCCCUGUUGGCUUUGGCAGGUGCUUUGGGGGAGAAGUUUCCUGGGACAAGUCUGUUUACAUCGGCGCAACCUAUGAUGUGACAGACCCAGCCAUCACCCACCAAAUUGUUGACCGGCCUGUCUUGGAGAAACCAGUCAUCGGCAGGUACUACCUCCAGCCGCAGUGGGUCUUUGACUCGGUCAAUAACAAGCUGUGCCUCCCCGUGGCAGAUUACUUCCCUGGCGUCCUGCUGCCACCUCACCUCUCCCCAUUUGUAGCAGAGAAGGAGGGCGAUUACAUCCCACCGGAGAAGCUGAAGUUGCUCGCCUUGCAGCGAGGUGAAAAACUAGAAGAGAUUGGCUCAGGAGACGAGGAGGAGAGUGAAGAGGAUGAAGAUGCAGCUGAAGGCUCUGAGGAGGACAGAGAGGAGGAGGAGGAAGAGGAGGAGACUGACAAGGAAGAGGAGGAAAGGCUGAAGAAGAUGGAGGCACAGAGGUCCCAAGGCGAGCUGCUCGUGAAGGUGACAGCCGGCAAGGUCCUGGCAGAGGACAAACAGCGUCUCAUGCAAGAGCAGCAGAGUGAGGAGAAGCGCUUGGCCAUCAUGAUGAUGAAGAAACGGGAGAAGUAUCUUUACCAGAAGAUCAUGUUUGGAAAGAAGCGCAAAAUCCGAGAGGCAAACAAGCUAGCUGAGAAACGAAAAGCACACGAUGCAGCAGCCAAAGCAGAGAAGAAGAGAAGCAAGAAGGCAAGGCGGGAGUAACACACACCUCUCAUCCCAGCCCGACUCUCCACACACGUUUCCAAGAUGGCUGCUUUAGUCCCCCUGUCGGGCCUCUCAGUGGAAUGUGGGAAGCAUCGAAAUUCCUAGCUCUUCUUGCUUCUGCCCCAAGCCUGGCUUCUCCACAGCAGGCCCCAGCACUACCUUGACUAUGUAGCCAAGGGCCUGUUUGGGGACAUCAGUUGUUUAAAACAGAUCUGAAUUUUCCUUAGGUCUUCGUAAUACUUCCUCCUUGUAAGAGUUCUGGCUUAGCUGCCACAUUAGCUGGUCAGAACAAGCUUCUUAAAGGACAGGGAGGACUGCUGUAGCAUCACUCCGAUGGUGACCUCCCAGGUUGACUGAGAGGAGAAUGAAGCUCUUCUGGCCAAGAGGAAAAUGGGCUUGAACACAUGCACUUUUGUGAGAAGAUCUCUCCCCAUCCCUGCCUGGUUUGGUACAGAGAACAUUAACCAGGUCUAAACAUGAAUCCAGUGCAGAAACCAUUUGCAAGCAUCACUGUUUCCCAGUGAAUGUACGGCAAAAACAGUGAUGCUCUUCGGAGGCAAAAUAGUUUGGAACUGUUGCUGUGCUUUGUAAAUAAACCUUCAUGAAAGACCACACCAAGGCUCAGGCUGCACCCAGAUGAAGCAUAUGGAAAGUAUUUUAAGGAAAACAUGAUCUUAUAACCUGUGGGGUCCUGAUCGACAAGGAGGAGUUAAGCCUUGGCAACAACUAAAAGAUGAAGGGAAAAAUACAGACUGGCUUGUUUAUUACCAAUUGGUUUCAAGAAUGAAAGAAGAAAUCUAAUCAGGGAAAGGCACCAUAAGAGACUUGAUGGGAUUUGAAACGCCUAUUAUGCAAAGAAAGGAUAGUUUGUUAGGAAGAUUUCAUAAGCAAUUACUCCAAUUUGAUACUGAAAUUCAGCAAGUUAAGAAAUUUACUUAGGAAAUUAAGUGCUAACUGGACAUAGAACCUUGGAGAAGGAAUAUUGUCCUGCCAAUAGGAAGCUUUAUGGGGAAGAGACAUUGGAUUCACAGCCAGUCAAGCACUAAGAGAAAGUUGGUACAAGAUGGUAGCAUAUUACACUGAAAGAUAUAGAAAAAUUGACAAGAAUUAUAAUGAAAAAUGUUGGAAGUGCUAAAAAAAAGUGGAUGGGAUUUUCCACCAUAUAUGGUGGACUUGCGAUAAAAUUAAAAGAUUUUGG